AGCAUUCUUCCCUGUUUGUCUUUUCAGAAAACAUGACCCAGAAAGGGUUAGGAGCCAGCAGAGGAAGAACAAGUGAGCAAGAAUACUUCAACCUUGAAUUCUUCAAGGUUGUUGUUGUUGGAGACCGUGACUCUGGGAGAACCUCGCUGAUCAUAACUUACACCACAGGAGAGUAUCCAGAGUCUUUUCUACCAAAGACAGUAGACUCUACGUUUGCCAAUGCAGUGUUUGAAGGACAAGCAUUUCAACUGUCGAUUUUGGACACUUCAGGCACUGAGGACUAUCCUCGCUUGCGGCCCUUAAGCUACGCUUAUGCCGAUGUGGUGCUGAUCUGCUACGAUGUCAUGAGUCCUUCAAGCUUUGAUAAUGUCUUCCAGAGGUGGUACCCUGAGGUGAAGCAAAUCUGUGUUGGGGUGCCCAUUAUUCUUGUUGGGUGCAAAACAGACCUUCGUUCAGACAAAUUCCUGGAAGAGGAACUCUGGUCAUUGGGCCAGAACUACAUCAAGUAUACUCAGGGUGAAGAGGCCAGAAGAAAAAUAAAUGCAGCGGCAUACUUGGAGUGCUCUGCCAAAUGCAACGAAAAUGUGCAGAAUGUAUUCAGAGAAGCAACAAAACAAGCACUAAUGGCGACGAGAGUGAAGGACAGAGUCAGAAAGAGUGAGAGUCGGUGUGUCUUAUUGUGAUGCAGCUCAUGACUUUGACUGACUGGUAGUGUGAGCUGCACUCAAACUCCAUGUCCAUGUGUUUCCUGAUUGGUUUCCCUUUCAGUGUCCUAAUUUGAGAUGCACUUCAGUAAGAUUAUACUGUGUACUACUGUCUGUAUUUCCUAGCAUAAAAGUUUGCAACACA